GAGAGAGAGAGAGAGAGAGAGAGAGAGGAUAACAUCUUUUGUUUGCCUCUCAAUUCUCACGCAGAGACCAUCGUCAUAAGAAUGUCUCCCCAGCUCUCUGAAGCCUUUAAUAGAUGCACGAAGGAAACAUACCUUGCAAAAUCAUUUCUGCUGCUUCAAAGACUGUAAAAAGCAUGGCAAGAGCUUCCAAUAUGGUCAAGCACAGAGACCAUUGGUUUCUUCUGAUGAAGUCACGCUUCAGACUGGAGAGGGGAGGGACCUCUACAAGGCCCCUGAGUCACAACCACUAAAUCACUAGGCUUCCUGGAGCAGCUUUUGAGAUGACGAUGUUAACUAAGAAUGAGGAGCCAGGCAGCAUUCUGCGUAACACAAAGACGUAAGUCCUAACAGAACAAAGCAAGAUGCUUACACUUGUAAGAAAACAUGCAAAUCAAUAAGGAAAUGUGCUGUCAGGAUAGGGGAAAGAACAUCAAGUCCGGUGAGAGACUUGUUCUGCAGUACUCUAAGAAUUGCGACUGAAAACAAACAGAUUACCUAAAUAUAGGUUCCAGCGUCUACAGGAAGACAAUAGAGGAGUGUGUUCUAAAUGGAAAUUGACAUGUUCUACACAUUCUUCCUUCUCUAAACGGGUAAAAGUUUUACCAUAAGCAGCACUGAAAGAAGGACUACAUCAUAGAACGAAAUGGUUGACAUACAUGUGACAGACAAAACUAUUCGAACAAAUUAGAAUUUAGAAAUUAAUUCAAGCUUUUUUGUUUUUGUUUGGUUGGUUGGUUUGGUUUUGGGGACAGGAUUUCUCUGUGUAGCCCUGACUAUCCUGAAACUCACUCUGUAGACCAGGCUAGUUUUCAAUUUACAGUGAGUGAUCUGUCUUCCGCUGCCUCCCAAACUCUGGGAUUCAAGGCAUGCACCAUCGCGGCCUGGCAAUUUAAAGUAUUUUUAAAGGAUAAGUAUCGCAAUAUAAAACUAAAGAAGAGGAAUUGGAGAGAUGGUUCACCAUUGUGAGCAUUGCCUGCUUUUGCAGAGGACCCAGGGUAAGUUUCUGGCACUGUCAUGGUGGCUCAAAACCAUCAGUAAUUCUAGGCCAAGGGGGACUCAACACUUUCUUUUGACCUCUUCAGAUACCAGGUAUGCAUGUAGUGUACAUAUAUGUGGCAAAACACUCAUAAACAUAAAAAAUAUACAUUUUAAUUUUUCAUGUAAUAUAUUUUGACCAUUUUUUAUUUCCCCAACACCUCCUAUAUCUUCCUUGUACUC